GAUGAACGCUGACAGAAUGCUUAACACAUGCAAGUCUACUUGAUUCUACUUCGGUAGUUGAUGGUGGCGGACGGGUGAGUAACGCGUAAAGAAUCUGCCCUUUAGUUUGGGAUAACCUUUGGAAACGAAGGCUAAUACCGGAUAUUAUGGAGACGUCGCAUGACGACUCCAUGAAAGCUAUAUGCGCUAGAGGAGGACUUUGCGUCCCAUUAGUUAGUUGGUGAGGUAAUGGCUCGCCAAGACCGCGAUGGGUAGCCGGCCUGAGAGGGUGAUCGGCCACAAGGGAACUGAGACACGGUCCUUACUCCUACGGGAGGCAGCAGUGGGGAAUAUUGGACAAUGGGCCACAAGCCUGAUCCAGCAAUUCUGUGUGCACGAUGAAGGUCUUCGGAUUGUAAAGUGCUUUCAGUAGGGAAGAAAAAAAUGACGGUACCUACAGAAGAAGCGACGGCUAAAUAUGUGCCAGCCGCCGCAGUAA
rnacentral:rRNA from 1 species